UCUUAACUACUGAGCCACCUCUCUAGCCCCCUCUGUUGGAAAUGUUAUCAGAUAAGAUAUCAAUGUAUAAUGUAUAUGAUUCUGACAGCUUAGUAUUUAAGUUACUACUCCAGUUAGUCUUGAUGGUAUAGGCCUAAAACAUAGCUGCUUUGUAUAAUGAAACACUAGGGUUGUGUAUUGAAAAUAGACUAAAGUAUAUUUGCCUCCUGCACACCGGUGGCAAUUAUGUGUGUGUAACUCAGUGGUAAAAUUUAUGAGGUAAAUUUUUGUGAUCAAAACAUAAAUCUCUGCUAACAGAUUAGAUUUGCAAUUGAAUUUCCAAUUUAAUUCAUUGUCUUCUUAAAUGAAGAAAAUUAUUGUAUGACAUAGUCAGAAAGUAAAUAAAGGACAACUGGAAGAGGGGCUGUUCCUAAUCUUUUGGCUGCAUAUGAUUCCCAUCCUCCUUAUUAGGCCUCCUUGUUUGACCUCAGGUGGAGUGGAUUAACUUAGUCCUGGAGUCAGGUGGAGUGGAUUUACUUAGUCCUGGAGUAACUUCAAGUGCCAGGGUAGAGGAAAUGGGGGUAAGAGCUGUGUGCAGGGAGUAGACUGGGAGGAAAGUGGCACUGAUAUUAGAUUGUAAAGUGAGUAAAUAAAUUAAUGAAAGAACCAGGUCCCUAAAAUAAGAAAUAAAACCCUCAAAAAUGAUAUAUAAAUUAUUUACUCAGUGUUCUUAUGCACUUAAUAUAGUAGGUGGUGAUCUGCAAUGAAAACAGAGAGGUAGGACCACAUACAAAUCUCAGAUUAUGGGUGUGAUUUUAUAAUAUAUAUUGUAAGAGAGAAUAAUCAUGUACUGGUUAUUACUGGCUAAGCACAUAUAGGCUAGUAAUGUCUUGCUUGUUUUGGUUUACUGCUCUAGAAUGAAUGGUUCAAAGAAUACAAGGUUGACCAAUCAGACAAUAAAUAGACAUAGCCUUUAAUAAUUGCAUUGGCACAGGCAUCAAAAGAAUGAGAGUAUAAUGUGAAAGAUGAGAGAAGUGGGAUGUGAGAGAGAUACAUCACUUGUCUUAGAUAUGUAACUCAAUAAAACCAAGACGGAACUGUGUAAUGUUUGAUUUUUUCCCCACUAUUCCAGAAAGCCUGCUAGUAGAGAUGAGUUAUUAGGCUCAUUUGUUUCUUUGGCUUAAGUGUAUUAAACACAUGCUUUUUUACUCUCAGCUUUAAAACAAACAACAGGAAAAGGAAACCACGUAAGUAAAAUUAAAAUAAAUAAAUAUAUAUAUAUAAAUGCAACCCUCAACAAAACACUAAAUUAAACACUUUGGUAUAAGCUAUGAGAAAAGUGAUUGCAAACAAUUGUCGAAAAAAUGAUGGUUUACAAAUUCAAUAUGUGGGGUCAUAGUACUUGAACACUGUUUUACAAUCAUCAGUGAUCAAAAAAAUUGACAAGAAAUAUACAGC
rnacentral:lncRNA from 1 species